rnacentral:piRNA from 1 species
UGUGAAGCCAGACAGCUGGAGAGCAUGUC